rnacentral:rRNA from 1 species
GAUGAACGCUGGCGGCGUGCCUAAUACAUGCAAGUCGAGCGAACGGACGAGAAGCUUGCUUCUCUGAUGUUAGCGGCGGACGGGUGAGUAACACGUGGAUAACCUACCUAUUAGACUGGGAUAACUUCGGGAAACCGGAGCUAAUACCUGAUAAUAUUUUGAACCGCAUGGUUCAAAAGUGAAAGACGGUCUUGCUGUCACUUAUAGAUGGAUCCGCGCUGCAUUAGCUAGUUGGUAAGGUAACGGCUUACCAAGGCAACGAUGCAUAGCCGACCUGAGAGGGUGAUCGGCCACACUGGAACUGAGACACGGUCCAGACUCCUACGGGAGGCAGCAGUAGGGAAUCUUACGCAAUGGGCGAAAGCCUGACGGAGCAACGCCGCGUGAGUGAUGAAGGUCUUCGGAUCGUAAAACUCUGUUAUUAGGGAAGAACAGAUGUGUAAGUAACUGUGCACAUCUUGACGGUACCUAAUCAAAAAGCAACGGCUAACUACGUG